rnacentral:rRNA from 1 species
UAACCUGCCCAAGAGAUCGGGAUAACACUGGAAACAGAUGCUAAUACCGGAUAAUAACAGAUGAUGCCUAUCAACUGUUUAAAAGAUGGUUCUGCUAUCACUCUUGGAUGGACCUGCGGUGCAUUAGCUAGUUGGUAGGGUAACGGCCUACCAAGGCGAUGAUGCAUAGCCGAGUUGAGAGACUGAUCGGCCACAUUGGGACUGAGACACGGCCCAAACUCCUACGGGAGGCAGCAGAA